ensembl:lncRNA
AUGAGACUCUUUGGCUCUGACCGUCUCCACAAGCAUGUUAUAACCAUGUGGGAUUCACCACAUCCUCCUGACCUUGGCUUUGCGGUACUGGCUGUAACCUCACUGCCUCACUGUGGCCCUAAUGUUUCUUCUGGCCGUGUUACAGAGGCCAAAGUAAGCUCUGUGGCGAUCGGGGUGGCUGUGGGAUGCACCUUCCUUGCUCUCCUCAUCGUCAUCGGCAUUGUGCAGUUCUGCUGCAAUCGAUCCUGGAAGAAAUGCAGGAAACGCUGCAAGAGAAAUGAGGCAUCACUGAAAGAAAAAGUGCUUACGUGAGUGUGUUGACAACCAGUUAACUAAAUGGGGAUGGUAAUGGUGGUAAAUCGUUCCUCUACAGAAUUGCACUCCCUCUGUGUGAACUGUGUGUGAGAGAUGUGUUGUUUAUUAAAUUAUCUGAUGUGUGUGUCUACAGGAAGUUUGGCCAAAAUAAGUCUCCCCCUCCCUUCUCCAUCAGUGGCUGUUUGAAGUAGAGGACCUGCAACACACAGGAGAACAUCUGUUGAUUACAUUCUCUUUCUUUCUCCCUCUCUUGCUCUCUGAUAUUGAUCUAACAGUCAUGUAUUUGAACGUAAUACUCUGUCUCCUGUGAAUAUAGCGCAGUAUGUCUCUGUAGAGAGAGCAGCAGUAGCCUCGAAGUUAUAGAAGCGGGCCAGCAACCGGAGGGGUGCCACCUACUGCUAAUGUUCCUUUGGAACUUAACCCCCUAAACUGUUAUUUUGGGCUAUGCACUGCCGGUGCCCUCUGCUCCAGCCUCUCCAACCUUGUGUAUAUACAAUGACUUAAAGUAUUCAGACCACUUGACUCUCCACAUUUUGUUAAAUUACAGCUUGUCCAAAAAUGUAUUAAUUAGUUUGUUUACUCAUCAAUCUACACACAACGCCCCAUAAUGACAAAGCAAAAACAGGUUUUUAUGGGAAUCUUUUUUUAAAUGGCGGCAGGGUAGCCUAGUGGUUAGAGCGUUGGACUAGUAACCGAAAGGUUGCCAGUUUGAAUCCCCGAGCUGACAAGGUACAAAUCUGUCGUUCUGCCCCUGAACAAGGCAGUUAACCCACUGUUCCUAGGCCAUCAUUGAAAAUAAGAAUUUGUUCUUAACUGACUUGCCUAGUAAAAUAAAGGUAAAAUAAAAAUAUAAAAUAUCACAUUUACAUAAGAUUUCAGUUCCUUUACACAAUACUUUGUUGAAGCACCUUCGGCAGCAAUUACAGCAUCGAGUCUUCUUUGGUAUAACGCUACAAGUUUGGGACACCUGUAUUUGGAGAGCUUCUGCCCUUCUUCUUUGCAGAUCCUCUCAAGCUCUGUCAGGUUGGAUGGGGGAGCGUUGAUGCAUUUUUUCAGGUCUCUCCAGAGAUGUUUCGAUCUGGUUCAACUCCGGGCUCUUGCUGGGCCACUCAAGGACAUUCAGAGACUUGUCCGAAGCCACUCUUGCAUUGUAUUGGCUGUGUGCUUAGAGUCAUUGUCCUAUCGGAAGGUGAACCUUUGCCACAGUCUGAGAUCCUGAGCGGUCUGGAGCAGGUUUUCAUCAAGGAUCUCGCUGUACUUUGCUCCGUUAAUCUUUGCCUCGAUCCUGACUAGUACCCUAGUUGAAAAACUGUGCUGAAAAACAUCACCACAGCAUGAUGCUGCCAUCACCAUGCUUCACCGUAGGGAUGGUGCCAGGUUUCCUUCAAACGUGAUGCUUGGCAUUCAGGCCAAAGAGUUCAAUCCUGGUUUCAUCAGACCAGAUAAUCUUGUUUCUCAUGGUCUGAGAGUCUUAAGCGGACUGUCAUGUGGUUUCCGUCUGGCCACUCUACCAUAAAGGCUUGAUUGGUGGAGUGCUGCAGAGACGGUUGUCUAUCUGGAAGAUUCUCCCAUCUCCACAGAGGAACUCUAGAGUUCUGUCAGAGUGACCAUUGGGUUCUUGGUCCACCUCCCUGACCAUGGCCCUUCUCCCUCGAUUGCUCAGUUUGGUCGGGCUGCCAGCUCUAGGAAGAGUCUUUGUGGUUACCAACUUCUUCCAUUUAAGAAUGUCGGAGGCCACUGUGUUCUUGGGGACCUUCAAUGCUGCAGACAUUUUUUGGUACCCUUCCCCAGAUCUAUGCGUUGACACCAUCCUGUCUCGGAGAUCUACGGACAAUUCCUUCGACCUCAUGCCUUGGUUUUUGCUCUGACAUGCACUGUCAACUGUGGGACCUUAUAUAGACAGGUGUGAGCCUUUCCAAAUUAUGUCCAAUCAAUUGAAUUUACCACAGGUCGACUUCUAUCCUCAAAAACUCAAGGAUGAUCAAUGGAAACAGGAUGCAUCUGAGCUCAAUUUUGAGACUCAUAGCAAAGGGUCUGAAUACUUACGUAGAGAAGGUAUUUCUGAUUUCUAUUUUGCUGAGGAUUUUAAAAAAUGUAAAUACAUUUUAGAAUAAGGCUAUGAAAAAAAGUCGAGGUCUGGCCUCCCGAGUUGAGCAGCGGUCUAAGACACUACAUCACAAUGCUAGAGGUGUCGCUACAAGUCCGGGUUUGAUCACAGGCUGUGUCUCAGCAGGCCGCGGCCGGGAGACCCAAAUGUCUAUCUCGUGUGGACCAAUAAAAUGUACCUUAUCUUAUACUUACAUAGCAUAGCCUUUGUGUCCCAUGAGUAUGUCACUGUAGGCUGAUGCAGAGUAAUGGAGGAGCGUGUGUUUUAAAGUAUGGCUCGGGUACGCUCACAUAAGACUGAGCGUAUCGGUUAUUUCAAAGUUUCUAAUGCUCUCUCUCUCUCUCACUCAUAUCUCACCACACAAACCUCAAACAACUCACUCUCUCUUCCGGCCCACGUUUAAACAUGAGGUCAUACAGACAGGGGAGUUGAUUUGAACUUUGUUGUAAUACCACAUUAGGUUUCUUUCAUAAUAGAAAAUGAAAUAAGAAAUGUAACCACUAUUCAACUGUCACGGGUUUGUCCUCUCUGGAUGAAGAAAGAAUGGCGGGUUAGGGUGUCUCUAUAGAUUGAGGAAAACACAGAGAAGUGUGAGACUCAGAGGAUGGUUGUGGAGGAAAGAGUACUGAUGACGAAAAGGAGAAUGGCGCAUUGGCGGCUAGUCAACAAGCUAACCACAGAAACUCACACAUCAUCUUUCUCAUAAGCUGGAGGUAAAGUUCCUCUAAAGUCUCAUUUUAGGUCAGUUUGAUCGUUUAAACAUCAUAUUUUUUUGUUGUCUUUGUCCCACUUAUCUCUCUCAUAUAUGUUUCCAUAACGUUUAAUGACAGAUAACGCUCAUUUGUAAAUAAAUGUGUGGGUAAAGUUUUUUAUUUUAUUUUUUAAAGUGGAUCAUAUUUCGUUGAAGCCUUGGUUUUCUUAUACAGUAUGGUGUAGUUGACAUUUUUUUAUUGAAAAUAUUUCCCUUUCUGAUAUUGACUGGCUAUCUUCCUCUAAGACCUUGUGGCCUUUCCCCUGUGUGUGUGUGUGUGACAGAACGGAGAUCGACGAGCGCAUUACAUGUACAGAACUGCAUAGAACACAGGAUCUAUGUUGAUAAUCAGGGUUAAUAUAUUCACAGUAGGCAGAUCAUCAGUUUGCUCCGACGAGGGAGAGGGUCUCUGUUAUACAGCAGCUUUUCUUGGGAAAUGUUGCACUACUGUACUUGUCACCAAUACGUUUACAUACUAAUGGUCCGUCCCAAUGCCAUACAUACAGCAUGAUGUAUUUUCAUCUGCCCAUUUCCCCGACCCUGCUGUUUUCUGUGAAACUCAUGGCAAUUUUGGGAACCUGGCGGAGGUGUUGUGUGAGUUUCAAAGAACCUUAUAAGACGUUGAAAAGAAAACUUAGGCUUUUAUAUUUUUUUUAUCUGUGGUUGAGCGAGUUGGAGUGUUAUUCUUGUGAUGGUGAGAGUUUUUAAGGCGGUGUGUUUACCAUAACAGGUGACACUGCCCUGUGGGUGAUAUACCAGGUCAUCUAAGGAGGAGAUUUAAAAAAAUACACAAAAAAUCUCUUCUCCCUUUUAGGGCAGACAAUAGCUCCUGACCCUCAUGGCUGCUCUACCGGUCACAGAUAUGGCCUAUAGGCGUACCACCAGGGCGAUGUGUCACAGUAUGUAGAAAUUGUAUUCCAUAUGUUUGAUACAUGUGAAAUGACAGUUAAAAUUCAGCAUGUGAGGACUACAUUAAUUCUGGUAAUGUCAAGUGUCUUCUUGAUUUUAGUGAGAAAGUGCAAAUAGGAAAGCGGGAUACCUAGUCAGUUGUACAACUGAAUGCCAUCAACUGAAAUGUGUGUUCCAAAUACCUGUACUCAAUUCUGAUCUUUUCUAUUUCAAUAAAACUAGGAUAUAAUGUGUAACGGGUGUUGUAUGUUGGUGAAUUAAUAUAGUUGGAGUUGUCUGCUUGUCAUUUGAUAAGGUGUUCCCCUGAUAAAAGCAUUAUGUGUAGUGUUAGAGACUUAGACACUUCCUCUUUCGGUCUCCCCCUAUCUAUUCUGUGCAACCGCUGAUCUAGUUGAGAAUCUAAUUUGGAAAACCGCUCAUCGAAUACAGAAUUUCCCCAGUAUCAUUAUUUUUGCAUGUGUGGAAUUCCUCCUGUAUCUCUGUGAUAUGCCAUGUCAUGCUGGAGGAGGUUUCAUCUUCCGUCCCACUCUGUCCUUUUUCAUCAUUUUGACUGACUCAUACCUUCGCUCCGCUGUAUAUUCUACAGAUAUUGAGUGCUACUUCACAUAGCGUACAUACUGUAUGUCUGUUUAACCCCCGUUCACACACUGUGUGUCUGUUUAACCCCCGUUCACACACUGUAUGUCUGUUUAACCCCGUUCACAUACUGUAUGUCUGUUUAACCCCCGUUCACACACUGUGUGUCUGUUUAACCCCGUUCACACACUGUAUGUCUGUUUAACCCCCGUUCACACACUGUGUGUCUGUUUUAACCCCGUUUCACACACUGUAUGUCUGUUUAACCCCGUUUCACAUACUGUAUGUCUGUUAAUGUCUGUUUAACCCCGUUCACCACUGUGUGUCUGUUUAAACCCGUUCACACACUGUGUGUCUGUU